AAAUAAGAAGCAUUAAUGCAUUUAGUUUCGACCUAAAAGAAGAGUAAUUUUUACUCCUUAUUUU
rnacentral:tRNA from 1 species